AUUGAACGCUGGCGGCAGGCCUAACACAUGCAAGUCGAGCGGAGCGGCGGACGGGUGAGUAAUGCCUAGGAAUCUGCCUGGUCGUGGGGGAUAACGUCCGGAAACGGGCGCUAAUACCGCAUACUAUCAGAUGAGCCUAGGUCGGAGUAGCUAGUUGGUGGGGUAAAGGCCUACCAAGGCGCCGAGCCGUAACUGGUUUGAGAGGAUGAUCAGUCACACGGGAACGGAGACACGGUCCAUACUCCUACGGGAGGCGGCAUGGGGGAAUAUUGGACAAGGGGCGAAAGCCUGAUCCAGCCAUGCGGCGUGUGUGAAGAAGUUCUUCGGAUUGUAAAGCACUUUAAGUUGGGAGGCGUUACCAACAGAAUAAGCACCGGCUAACUUCGUGCCAGCAGCCGCGGUAAUUC
rnacentral:rRNA from 1 species